GAUGAAGCGAGGAGGUGAAUAUGAUGAGGUCUACCGCAAAAUCGUUCUACCAACGCUACUUUUCUGCGACGCAGGAAGCGUCCUGGCUGGCCCGCCUGAUGGCAGGACGACAGCAGGAAAUUCUGGGGGAACUGAUGCAGUGGGGAGUGACGUCAACGACCUCUGAUCAUUGACUUGCAGACAUCAUGUGUGACUGAGUAUUGGUGUUAUACUCGUCGUUUUUC
rnacentral:sRNA from 20 species